AGAAAUAGAUUAACUUAAAGCUGCUAACUUUAAUAAAAAUGAUAAUACCAUUUAUAUUUCUU
rnacentral:tRNA from 1 species